ACUCAAAUGAAUAGACGGGGACCCGCACAAGCGGUGGAUGAUGUGGUUUAAUUUGACGAUACGCGGAGAACCUUACCCAGGCUUGACAUCCUAGGAAUCUUUGAGAAAUCAGAGAGUGCCUUCGGGAGCCUAGUGACAGGCGCUGCAUGGCCGUCGUCAGCUCGUGUCGUGAGAUGUUGGGUUAAGUCCCGCAACGAGCGCAACCCUUAUCGUAUGUUGUAUUUUUCAUGCGAGACUGCCCGAGGCAAUCGGGAGGAAGGCGGGGAUGAGGUCAGGUCAGCAUGGCCCUUACGCCUGGGGCUACACACGUCAUACAAUGGCCGGUACAAAGCGCCGCGAAACCGCGAGGUGGAGCUAAUCGCACCAAAACCGGUCCCAGUUCGGAUUGCAGGCUGCAACUCGCCUGCAUGAAGUCGGAAUCGCUAGUAAACGUAGGUCAGCAUACUACGUUGAAUACGUUCCCGGGUCUUGUACACACCGCCCGU
rnacentral:rRNA from 1 species